rnacentral:rRNA from 1 species
AUGCCGCCGUCCCCUCCCGCUCCCCGGCUCCUCCUCCUGCUCGCGUUAUUGAUCGCGUGCGCCGCGUCGGGGGUCGGCUGCUCGGGCCCGCGGUUCGCGCAGCUCGACCGCCUCCGCGAGCUCCACCAGCGGGAGCGCCGGCCUGCGGCCGAGCAGGUGGACGCCGCGCGCGGGCUCCUCGCGCGCCUCCUCCCCUCUCACUCCGCCAGCUUCGAGUUCCGGGUCGUCUCCACGGAGCAAUGUGGUGGAAAGGCGUGUUUCAUCAUCAACAACCAUCCAUCGUCUGAUGGAGAAGGAACUCCCGAGAUAUUGAUACUUGGAGCAAGUGGGGUAGAAAUUUCUACUGGUCUUCAUUGGUAUUUGAAGAACUAUUGCGCGGCACAUAUAUCAUGGGCUAAAACUGGUGGUUCACAAUUAUCAUCUGUUCCAUAUCCUAGCUCACUACCUCGUGUUCCUGCUGGUGGCAUUUUGAUUCAAAGACCUGUUGACUGGAGCUACUACCAGAAUGCAGUUACAUCCAGUUAUUCUUUUGCUUGGUGGGAUUGGGAGCGCUGGGAGAAGGAGAUUGAUUGGAUGGCUCUUCAAGGAAUCAAUUUGCCUCUAGCUUUCACUGGGCAAGAGACUAUAUGGCAGAAGGUUUUUCAGAGGUACAACAUUAGUAAAUCUGAUUUGGACAAUUUCUUUGGUGGGCCGGCCUUUCUUUCAUGGUCUCGGAUGGCCAAUAUGCAUGGAUGGGGUGGGCCUCUUCCUCAGACUUGGCUUGAUGAUCAAUUAACUCUUCAGAAGAAAAUCCUUUCUAGGAUGUAUGCAUUUGGCAUGUCCCCAGUUCUUCCAGCCUUUUCUGGUAACAUCCCUGCUGCACUGAAGUUAAAAUUCCCCUCAGCUAAAGUCACCCACCUUGGAAACUGGUUCACAGUUGACAGCAACCCACGGUGGUGUUGCACAUAUCUUCUUGAUGCAUCCGAUCCCUUAUAUGUAGAAAUCGGGAAGUUGUUUAUAGAAGAACAAAUCAGAGAAUAUGGUAGGACAAGUCAUGUAUACAACUGUGAUACUUUUGAUGAGAACACCCCUCCAUUGAGUGAUCCAAACUAUAUUUCUUCCUUGGGUGCUGCGACAUUCAGGGCAAUGCAAAGUGGUGAUGAUGAUGCUAUUUGGUUAAUGCAAGGUUGGUUGUUUACUUAUGAUCCUUUCUGGGAACCCCCACAAAUGAAGGCACUACUGCAUUCUGUUCCAGUUGGCCGAAUGAUUGUUCUCGAUCUGUAUGCUGAAGUAAAACCAGUAUGGAUCAAUUCUGAUCAGUUCUAUGGUGUUCCCUACAUCUGGUGCAUGCUUCAUAAUUUUGCUGCGGAUUUUGAAAUGUAUGGUGUCUUGGAUGCUGUUGCUUCUGGGCCUAUUGAUGCUCGACUAAGUGAAAAUUCCACGAUGGUUGGAGUUGGCAUGUCUAUGGAAGGUAUCGAGCAAAAUCCUAUCGUUUAUGAUCUUAUGUCAGAAAUGAGUUUUCAUCAGAGACAAGUGGAUCUUCAGGUAUGGGUUGAGACAUAUCCAACAAGAAGAUAUGGGAAAUCAGUUGUUGGGUUGCAAGAUGCUUGGCGAAUUUUGCACCAAACUCUAUACAACUGUACAGAUGGUAAAAAUGACAAAAACCGGGAUGUGAUAGUGGCGUUCCCAGAUGUUGAACCUUUUGUUAUUCAAACACCAGGAUUGUAUGCGAGAACUAGCAAAAAUUAUUCUACACUGGCAUCAGAGAAUUAUGUCGUGAAGGAUGCAUCCAAUGAUGCAUAUGAACAACCACAUAUAUGGUAUGAUACCGUUGCUGUUAUACAUGCCCUAGAGCUUUUCCUUGAAUAUGGAGAUGAGGUAUCUGACAGCAGCACCUUCAGAUAUGACCUUGUGGAUUUAACUCGCCAGGCUCUAGCCAAAUAUGCGAACCAAAUCUUUCUGAAGAUCAUCCAAGGCUACAAAUCAAACAACAUAAACCAAGUGACCACCCUGUGUGACCGCUUCCUAAACCUUGUUAAUGAUCUUGACAUGCUGCUAGCCUCUCACGAGGGAUUUCUGCUUGGGCCUUGGUUAGAAAGUGCGAAGGGCCUUGCACGAGACCACGAACAAGAGAUACAGUAUGAAUGGAAUGCCAGAACCCAGAUUACAAUGUGGUUUGACAACACCAAUACAAAAGCAAGCUUGCUACGCGACUACGCAAACAAGUACUGGAGCGGCCUGCUGUGGGACUACUACGGGCCAAGGGCCGCCAUCUACUUCAAGCACCUGAUAUCAAGCUUGAAGAAGAAUGAACCUUUUGCGUUGGAAGAAUGGAGGAGGGAGUGGAUUAGCCUCACCAACAACUGGCAGAGCGACAGGAAGGUCUUCGCGACCACAGCCACCGGAGACGCCCUAAACAUCUCCCGGACCCUGUACAUAAAGUACCUGCGCAACACCGAUGCACUUGGGCUAGAUGGUAUGGACUCGUUUGGAAAGCCUGCAAGCUUGUAA